rnacentral:rRNA from 1 species
UGGGGAAUUUUGGACAAUGGGCGAAACCCUGAUCCAGCCAUCCCGCGUGCGCGAGGAAGGCCUUCGGGUUGUAAAGCACUUUUGGCAGGAAAGAAACGUCAUGGGUUAAUACCCCGUGACACUGACGGUACCUGCAGAAUAAGCACCGGCUAACUACGUGCCAGCAGCCGCGGUAAUACGCAGGGUGCAAGCGUUAAUCGGAAUUACUGGGCGUAAAGCGUGCGCAGGCGGUUCGGAAAGAAAGAUGUGAAAUCCCAGAGCUCAACGUUGGAACUGCAUUUUUAACUACCGGGCUAGAGUGUGUCAGAGGGAGGUGGAAUUCCGCGUGUAGCAGUGAAAUGCGUAGAUAUGAGGAGGAACACCGAUGGCGAAGGCAGCCUCCUGGGAUAAAACUGACGCUCAUGCACGAAAGCGUGGGGAGCAAACAGG